GGAAUCUUCCGCAAUGGGCGAAAGCCUGACGGAGCGACGCCGCGUGAGCGAAGAAGGCCUUCGGGUCGUAAAGCUCUGUUGUGAGGGACGAAGGAGCGCCGUUCGAAGAGGGCGGCGCGGUGACGGUACCUCACGAGAAAGCCCCGGCUAACUACGUGCCAGCAGCCGCGGUAGUACGUAGGGGGCGAGCGUUGUCCGGAAUUAUUGGGCGUAAAGCGCGCGCAGGCGGCCUCUUAAGUCUGAUGUGAAAGCCCACGGCUCAACCGUGGAGGGUCAUUGGAAACUGGGGGACUUGAGGGCAGGAGAGGAGAGCGGAAUUCCACGUGUAGCGGUGAAAUGCGUAGAGAUGUGGAGGAACACCAGUGGCGAAGGCGGCUCUCUGGCCUGCACCUGACGCUGAGGCGCGAAAGCGUGGGGAGCAAACAGGAUUAGAUACCCCAG
rnacentral:rRNA from 1 species